rnacentral:rRNA from 1 species
AUUAAACGCUGGCGGCAGGCCUAACACAUGCAAGUCGAGCGGAUGAAGAGAGCUUGCUCUCUGAUUCAGCGGCGGACGGGUGAGUAAUGCCUAGGAAUCUGCCUGGUAGUGGGGGACAACGUUUCGAAAGGAACGCUAAUACCGCAUACGUCCUACGGGAGAAAGCAGGGGACCUUCGGGCCUUGCGCUAUCAGAUGAGCCUAGGUCGGAUUAGCUAGUAGGUGAGGUAAAGGCUCACCUAGGCGACGAUCCGUAACUGGUCUGAGAGGAUGAUCAGUCACACUGGAACUGAGACACGGUCCAGACUCCUACGGGAGGCAGCAGUGGGGAAUAUUGGACAAUGGGCGAAAGCCUGAUCCAGCCAUGCCGCGUGUGUGAAGAAGGUCUUCGGAUUGUAAAGCACUUUAAGUUGGGAGGAAGGGCAGUAAGUUAAUACCUUGCUGUUUUGACGUUACCAACAGAAUAAGCACCGGCUAACUUCGUGCCAGCCGCCGCAGUAAAAC